rnacentral:lncRNA from 1 species
GGCCCUUUGAACCGGGCGUGGGAUUGGCCGUCGCCUGCCCACCCCGCGGCUGCAGCGUUCCCUGGGGCCUAGCCAACCGCGGGCAGGGCUGGGCAAGGCGGGAGGAGCGCGGACCCAAGAUCGGCUACGCUGCGUCUGCUCAGGCUGCGAGUUCCCGGCUCUGGGGACUCACCUUGCGGAGCUUACCCAGGCGGACUCUCCGCAGCCCCUGAUGGGUGUGUGUGUCAGACCGUUUACUAAACACCAGGACUGUUGUAGGCGACUAAAAGAAAACUGAGAUCCAGGAAAGGGAAGUGAUUUUCCAAAGACACACCUGUGAAAGCAGCCGUGUUGAACCAUGAAAGGACCUCAGGAAUGAAACCCACACACAGCAAAGCAACAAAGUGAAAGAAGCGUGGAUUCCUAAUGCAGGAGGCACUGAACCAAUCAAUACCCACUGCCCUCCAGACCUCCACAUGAAAGAAAAAAACUGCUGUCCUGUGAAGAAGACACUCCCCAGAUGCCAGCAACUUGAUAUUGGACUUCCUGCCUUUAGAAACAUUCCUUUAAGCCUCUCUGAAACUUGACCCUCUGGCAGGAACAGGUGCCAUUACAUACAGACACUCUCUCUCUUCCAAAUUCACCCUGUCAUAUCAAAGGGAAAACUGAAGUGGUCCACUGUAGACCUGACAGAUGAUCACAAACAGGAAACCAGCAAUCAGAAGUGCCUACUGAGCUCCCUACCCUGACCAUCACCUACAGCUACAUUUUACAGAUACAAAAUCAUUGUUUGUUCAACUUUCAUAUCAAAGGAUGCUAUUAGUUCAUUUCCAAAGGUGGGAAAAUGUUUCAACUUACUUUAUUACUUGUCUGCUACUUACUAUUUUCCCUCCGUUUGCCUGCCUGACUUCUUUUAACUCUUCACUCAACAAAUAUCUACUGACUACUGAGCACUUGCCAAGUGCUAGGCCAGAGCUGGAUGCUGUACUACGGGCAGAUGAAGUGCUAUGGGCAUCCAGAGGUGGAAGAAGAGGGUAUAGCGAAAGGGGAGAAAAGGCUGCAACAAUAUUCACUGAGCCCUGUGCUCCCAGGUCAUCACAUAGACUAUGUCAUUAUUCCUCCUAACCACCCACAUGAGUAAAUAGGGGCUAUUACUGAAGAAACAGAGGCUUACAAAGGUUGAGCAACUUGCCCAAGGUCAUCUAUCACAAGACACUACAAGUCAGACUGCUGAAGAGGGAGUUUCUGCUGAGAAGCUGAAGUGGGCAGCUCAUAUUGGAUAUGAAGGCUUCAAAGGAAUCUAAAUCCUAAUGAUCCCUCUAGAGCCAACAUGCAGCACCAGUUUUCUCUUCCACAUUUGAACUGCUCAUCCACUUCCGGCUCCAAGACCUCACUCUCCAUCUAAACUAGUCCCACGCCAUCCAUAUCUUUCUCCACUAACGCCACCCAAUCACAACCCCACAGCCUCUUAGUCAUGAGUCAUUUUUUAAAAACUGCAAACCAUGUAAUGAGCCAUGGCAAUAUGCAACCCUAAACCUCAACACGUGUUUUCCACAACAAGGCCACAGGUGGCAGAAGCGAGCCUAAGGCCGUAGGACACUAAGGCAGGACUCUCUGGCUUGAGCUUUCCAAAAAGGGAGGUGAGAGAAGGUCUACCUGCGGGAAGUCAUGCUGAAGGCCUGAGGCUGAGUCAAAGAAGGAGCCCCCUGGAGGCUCUGCAGUUCCUGGACUUCAGGUAGAGGAACUCUGCCAUGAACACCUCUGGAAUCGUGUCAUUUUGGGACAAUUAGAGAAUAUCAGUUUUCAGACUGAGUUCUAUGGGAAGGUGCCUGCACAACAAAGGAGAGACGGAAUGGACUUCAGGUCUUCCAAAAUACCCCUCAUGUUCACCAAGUUGCUCUCUGCUCUAAGAUACCAGAUGAGGGGGCCAGUGGGGACUGAAACCCAGUCCCCAGUCUGCUGGCCAAUCCCUUUGCCUGUGAGGCUGCUCUGUCCUACCAGAGAGGGCACUUUUCAUAAUUUGCACCAAGUACAGAAUAGGAUAGUGUAGCUUUACCCUUCUCCCUACCAUCAACCACAGACACAUCAACACAUGCACACAUACAGCCACACAAAUAUACCUACAGGCAUACACAUACAACACAGGCACAUACAUGUUUGCACAAAGUCACAUGUAGACACAAACGCAGAGCACACAGACACAAACACAGGCACAAACCCAUACUUACACUACACACACACACAAACACACACAGACACACAAAUGCAAAUUAAGCCACAAUGUAGCACAUAGAGAUAUAGACACAGACGCAAAUACAGUCACAUAGAGAUAUAGACACACACUUAUACACACAUAUAUGUAAAUAUACAGUCUCAUUCACUUUAUACCACACAUGUAUAAACAUACACAAUUGUAUGUAGACACACAUACACAUAGGUACUCAGACCGCAUAGAUACAUAUGUACACACAUACAAAUAUAUGCACAUACACAGAUAUAUAUAUACACACAUGCAUCUUUAACCAGAACAACUUUACUUUUGUCAGUUUUAUAUGACAGAGUCUUUAAAAAAAGAUUUCAUCUGGCUUGUGUUCUACUAUUAAAAGA